GUGAAUCAUCAAAUUUUUGAACGCAAAUUGCACUUUCUGGUAUUCCGGAAAGUAUGCCUGUUUGAGGGUCAGUUAAAUAAAAAUCGGUGUUGUUGUUGCUUUUAGUGGUGAGGCGUCGGAAUUGAGUUGUGUUACCUUCGGUUAAGUGAAUUAAAAUUUUGAAUGAUUUUCGAACGUAUUUAAAUUUUUUACGUACGUUUGAGAUAUCGUAUACUUUAUUAGGUUCGGUAAUCAUCAUGAUUGGAACGUAUAAUUUUUCAUUAA
rnacentral:misc_RNA from 1 species